UUGCCCUACGGGACGCAGCAGUGAGGAAUAUUGGUCAAUGGUCGGGAGACUGAACCAGCCAAGCCGCGUGAGGGAUGAAGGUACAGAGUAUCGUAAACCUCUUUUGUCAGGGAACAAAGGCGGGGACGCGUCCCCGGAUGAGUGUACCUGAAGAAAAAGCAUCGGCUAACUCCGUGCCAGCAGCCGCGAUAAUACGGAGGAUGCGAGCGUUAUCCGGAUUUAUUGGGUUUAAAGGGUGCGCAGGCGGUCUGUUAAGUCAGCGGGAAAAUCGCGGGGCUCAACCUCGCUCCGCCGUUGAAACUGGG
rnacentral:rRNA from 1 species